rnacentral:misc_RNA from 1 species
GAUGAAGAACGUAGCGAAAUGCGAUAAGUAAUGUGAAUUGCAGAAUUCAGUGAAUCAUCGAAUCUUUGAACGCACCUUGCGCCCUUUGGACAUUCCGAAGGGCAUGCCUGUUUGAGUAUCAUGAACACCUCAACUCUCACGGCUUGUCCGUGAUGAGCUUGGACUUUGGGGGUCUUGCCGGCCUGUGGUCGGCUCCUCUCAAAUGGAUCAGCUUGCCAGUGUUUGGUGGCAUCACAGGUGUGAUAACUAUCUGCGCUUGUGGUUUUCCAUCAGAUAACCUUCAGUGAUAUGGAGGUUCGCUGGAGCUCACAAAUGUCUCUCCUUAGUGAGGACAGCUCUUUGAGCGUUUGAUCUCAAAUCAGGUAGGACUACCCGCUGAACUUAAGCAUAUCAAUAAGCGGAGGA